UACGGAAGGCAGCAGUAGGGAAUCUUCCGCAAUGGACGAAAGUCUGACGGAGCAACGCCGCGUGAACGAUGAAGGCUUUCGGGUCGUAAAGUUCUGUUGUUAGGGAAGAACAAGUACCAGAGUAACUGCUGGUACCUUGACGGUACCUAACCAGAAAGCCACGGCUAACUACGUGCCAGCAGCCGCGGUAAUACGGAGGGUGCGAGCGUUAAUCGGAAUUACUGGGCGUAAAGGGCACGCAGGCGGUUAAUUAAGUUGGAUGUGAAAUCCCCGGGCUUAACCUGGGAAUGGCAUUCAAGACUGGUUAGCUAGAGUCUUGUAGAGGGGGUAGAAUUCCAUGUGUAGCGGUGAAAUGCGUAGAGAUGUGGAGGAAUACCGGUGGCGAAGGCGGCCCCUGGACAAGACUGACGCUCAUGUGCGAAAGCGUGGGGAGCAAACAGGGAUUAGAUACC
rnacentral:rRNA from 1 species